rnacentral:lncRNA from 1 species
AACUUAAUAAUGUAUGAUUAUUUUAUAUGAUUUAAUCACACUUACUAAUGUAUGAUGAUUUUAUACAUUUUAUUGAAACUUACUGUUUGAUGAUUUUACACUUUUUUCAUCACACCUGCUAAUGUAUGAAGACUAUACAUUUUAAUCACACAAACUAAUGUAUGAUGAUUUUAUACAUUUUAAUCACACAUUCUAAUGUAUGAUUGUAUUUUUUUAAGCAAAUUCACUGUCUGGCCAAAAGGACAAAUCUCCAUCCAAAAAAAAGAUCACACACUCCAAUAAUUUGUAGGACCACCUUUAGCUGAAGGCACACAUUUUUUGUGUUGCUGUUUCAAUAAACUUCUGCAAUGUCAGCAGAUGUAUUUCCAUCCAGUGUUGCAUUAUUUUUUCUUGCAUUGAUGAUGGAGUUUGACCACUGUACAAAGGUUCAGCAUUUCCUUAGAUCAUUGGCAUGAAUCAAGCAGAGAAAACAUCUGACCCUUCUCACACAGACUAACAUCUUUUCCACGACCACCAGAUGUGUUUUUCCACAUGCUCUUUUAUGGAAUGAGAAGCAGCUCAGUACACCAGUUGUAUUAACUCAUUCACUGCCAUUGACGACUAAAGUCGUCAUUUUAAAUACAACCGUUCACUGCCAAUGACGAUUUUAGUCGUCAAUUACGUUUUUUAACGGGAGGUGGUAGGGAACAAGCUCACGCACCCUGACAGUAAACACCAAUCAUCUAAAAAUGAUCUUCAUCUGUGUGUGCGUCAGUGACGUGUCACGUGAUCAGGAAGAAGCCGAUCCAUGAAAUAGGAGCUGGUUUUAGGAAGCCACUAUGCCUAAGGCGAGACGCAAAGCGGAUAAUCUUAUGCAGCUCACACUUCAACAAAGUCUUACGCGGUAGCAACACUUUGCAUCGUGUUCCUAUCAAAAGAAAAGAUGACAACCAACCCGGGCCAAGCGGAGACGAAAGGCAUACGCCGCAACAUGUUUCAUCUGAGCUACAGACAGCGAUUUCAGCAGACAGUUCCGACUCGGAUCAUUUUAGCGAACCUGACCCAGAUUCUUCAGAUGAAUGGUUGCCGUCUGGACCAACCGGGAGCAGCAGAGAUUCUUCACCAGACGAUAAAAGAAAAAAUGAAGAAGAUCGUGCACCCAGAAAAGCUCCCCCUGCCACAACUAGUACUGCAAAGAAAAGAGGUUAGAGAGGCAAACAAACAAAUAAAUACAUAUAAAAACAAACAAAUAAAUAAAUAAUGUGUGUGUGUGUGUGUGUGUGUGUGUGUGUGUGUGUGUGUGUGUGUGUGUGUGUGUGUGUGUGU